AUGGCAACGUUGGAGCAAGAGCAACAGAGGGCAGAUGAAAAUAUGCUGAAGCUUGUGGCAAAACACAAGGGAAAAUUGGAAGUGAUAAAGCAUAUGCUAGGUGAAGAAGACUCUGAAUCAAAGAGGAAAAUAAAUGAACUUAGUGCUGAGUUUCAGGACAAGUAUGAUGAAAUGGAUGCAGUGGAAGCACUCCACCACACUCUGCUUAUGAAGGAAAGGAUAAGCAACGAUGAGUUGCAAGAUGCUCGGAAGAAGCUAAUAGAUGGUUUGUGGGAUGUUACAACUGGCCGAGCAACUAUAGGCGUUAAAAGGAUGGGUGAUCUUGAUCUGAAAACAUUUGCUAAGGCUUGCAAAGGUAAAAUGUCAGAAGAAGACGCAGAAGGUACCACUUCCAUUCUUUGUUCAACGUGGGAGGAGGAGAUUAAAAAUCCAGAAUGGCACCCUUUUAAAGUUAUCAUGGUCGACGGUAGAGAGAAGGAAAUUCUCCGCGAGGAUGACGAGAAGCUGCGGGAAGUGAAAGAAGAGCACGGCGAGGAAGUGUAUGGGUUGGUGACAAAGGCUUUGCUUGAAGGAGAGUCAACGAGUACAACCCUAGCGGGCGCUAUUCUGCGCCGGAGCUGUGGAACUAGAAAGAGAAGAGGAAGGCAACCCUGA
rnacentral:rRNA from 1 species